UGCAGUCGAGCGCCCGCAGGGGAGCGGCAGACGGGUGAGUAACGCGUGGGAAUCUACCCAUCUCUACGGAAUAACCCAGGGAAACUUGGACUAAUACCGUAUACGUCCUUCGGGAGAAAGAUUUAUCGGAGAUGGAUGAGCCCGCGUUGGAUUAGCUAGUUGGUGGGGUAAUGGCCUACCAAGGCGACGAUCCAUAGCUGGUCUGAGAGGAUGAUCAGCCACACUGGGACUGAGACACGGCCCAAACUCCUACGGGAGGCAGCAGUGGGGAAUAUUGGACAAUGGGCGAAAGCCUGAUCCAGCCAUGCCGCGUGAGUGAUGAAGGCCCUAGGGUUGUAAAGCUCUUUCAACGGGGAAGAUAAUGACGGUAACCGUANAAGAAGCCCCGGCUAACUUCGUGCCAGCAGC
rnacentral:rRNA from 1 species